rnacentral:rRNA from 1 species
AACGAACGCUGGCGGCAUGCCUAACACAUGCAAGUCGAACGGCAGCACAGCCGUAGCAAUACGGUGGGUGGCGAGUGGCGGACGGGUGAGGAAUGCAUCGGAAUCUGCCCGGUCGUGGGGGAUAACGCAUCGAAAGGUGCGCUAAUACCGCAUGAGAUCGAGAGAUGAAAGCGGGGGACCGCAAGGCCUCGCGCGAUCGGAUGAGCCGAUGCCGGAUUAGCUAGUUGGCGGGGGAAAGGCCCACCAAGGCGACGAUCCGUAGGUGGUCUGAGAGGAUGAUCAGCCACACGGGGACUGGGCCACGGCCCAGAGUCCUACGGGAGGCAGCAGUGGGGAAUAUUGGACAAUGGGCGCAAGCCUGAUCCAGCAAUGCCGCGUGUGUGAAGAAGGCCUUCGGGUUGUAAAGCACUUUUAUCGGGAGCGAAAAGCGGACGGUGAAUACCCGUCCGUGCUGACGGUACCCGAGGAAUAAGCACCGGCUAACUUCGUGCCAGCCGCCGCCGUAAUAC